rnacentral:lncRNA from 1 species
GUGACCAGAGCGCGUGCGCGAGGGUGUGGGGGGAUGGGAGGGGCAGCAGCCCUCUUCCGGGGGGGAGGGGCGGCGAGGCGAGGCCUGCGGAGCGGAGGAAGACAAACAUAAAGAUGAAGUGCUUAAUUCAAGGUCACACAAUGUCGGGGAUGGACCUCCAGAUUUCCUUACUGGUGAGACGUGGUCUUGUAACACAGUGGUUAAGAAUGUGACUUUGGAGCCAGCCUGCUAGGGGCUGAAUUCUGACUCAGCCAUUUACUAACUGUGUGACCUUAGUCUCACUGUUGCUCAGGCUGGAGUGCAAUGGCAUGAUCUCGGCUCAUCACAACCUCUGCUUCCUGGGUUCAAGCGAUUCUCCUGCCUCAGCCUCCCGAGUACCUGGGACUACAGGCACUCGCCACCAUGCCCGGCUGAUUUUUGUAUUUUUAAUAGAGAUGGUUUCACUAUGUUGGCCAGGCUGGUCUCGAACUCCUGACCUUGUGAUCUGCCCACCUCAGCCUCGAAAAGUGCUGGGAUUACAGGCGUGAGCCACUGCGCCCAGCCUUGUAUUUUUUUUCAGUUUGGGUAGCUGUCCCUAAUUCAUUUGUUAAAGGAGAAGCAAGAGCAAGAACCUUUAAUCUGUUCUCCUCUUCCCUAAUUUGAAAGUAGCUUGUUAUUUUGAAUAUCACUUUCUCUGAAAUAGCACAUCUCCAUCUCAGAGAAUGGAUUUAAUGUUUGGAUACAGCCAAAAGUCAUUUCAUUACCAAACCAUGGGGUGAAUAUACCAUGUAAAGCAGUUUGGGAUCAGAACUCACAGUCUGAAUUGUAAGUGAUGAGACUGCUGUCUCUCUGCUACAGCUUCUUGGCUGGCUCUGAAGGCUCUUUGAAGGCAGAUCCUAACAAGGGGACUGCUUUGAAGGGCCAUUGUUCAUUUGGAAUGAUAAAGUCUAUGUUGUUCAAAAAACAAAUGCUUGUAGCAGGUAUUUUUUCACUCCAGACUGAGAAUAUUGGUGGGAUAUUGAUAAGGGGUACUGAAUGGUAAUAAACAUGUGCUCUAGCUCUGUGCUAGUCAGCUUAUUUCAGAACUCUAGUUUGAUUCAGUUUCUUGCCUCUGACUCAAAAUGGAGGGAGAGUGAUUUUUACAUAAGAGAACACACCCACAUAUCCUUUUGGCAGCAGCUACCUGCCAGAGAUGUUGAAGAAGAGUAGCCAACCUUUACACAGCAGAUAUUGUGUGCCAGUCAUAGUCCUAAGUAUAAUACCUUACAUGUAUAAACUUCUUAUAAGGUUGGUGCUCUGUACCGAAUUGAAUAGUAUCCCCCAAAAUUCAUGUUGUCCCAGAACCUAUGAAAGUGAUCUUACUUGAGGGAGGGGGGAGGGGGGAGGGAUAGCAUUAGGAGAUAUACCUAAUGCUAAAUGACGAGUUAAUGGGUGUAGCACACCAGCAUGGCACAUGUAUACAUAUGUAACUAACCUGCACAUUGUGCACAUGUACCCUAAAACUUAAAGUAUAAUAAUAAUAAAAUAAAAAAAAAAAAGAAAGUGAUCUUACUUGGAAAUAAGGUCUUUGCACAUAUGAUCAAGUUGAGAUGAAGUUGUACUGGAAAGUCUGUCUAGUGACUGGUGUUGUCAUAAGAAGAGAGGGACACAGAGGGAAGAUGGCCACAUGAAGAUGGAGGCAGAGAUUGCAGUUAUGCUGCUGCAAACUAAGGAAUGGCUCUGGCCCUCCAAGGAUUGCUGAUAACCACCAGAAACUAGAAGAGACAAGGAAGGAUUCUUCCCUAGAGCCUUCAGAGGGAGCAUGGCCCUACUGACACCUGGAUUUCAAACUUGUAGCUUCCUAAACUGCAAGAGAAUAAAUUUCUGUUGUUUUAAGCCAUAUAGUUUGUGGUAAUUUGUUAUGGCAGUCCUAGGUAAU